CCUCCUCCCCCGCGAACCCCCCGUGUCCGCCGUGUCUUCAGCUCCGGAGGUCGGGAGGCGAAUAGGCGACCGCUAGGGUUUCAUUCCCCGGGGACGCGCCGCACCCUCGACCCCCACGCGCGGCCCUCUGACCUCCGCCUCUCCUCAUCCUCGCUCCUCCGCUCCGGGGUAAGAGACUCCCCUCCCUGCUCCUGGCCCCUCAUGCCCUAAUCGCGCGCCGGCCCCGGCUCGCCGUCGCCCCCAUCCGGAUCUCCGCCCCGCCACCGAGGUUCGAUUGUCGUGACAUGAUGCGGUACCUAUGACAUGAACAUUGCGGACUGGCCCAAGUGUGGUGGAGCUAAGGGUAGGUUGAGAUUUGAAAUUAAGUUAAAGCAUGGGGCUAAUGCUGGUAGUGCUUUGAAGCUGAUCCAGCCGAUCAAGGAUAAGUUUUCAGGUGUCGCAUAUGCAGAUCUAUUUCAGCUAGCUAGCGCCACAGCCAUUCAGGACGCAGGUGGCCCCAAAAUUCCCAUGAUCUAUGGAAGGGUUGACGUUACGGCCCCUGGACAAUGCCCGCCAGAGGGAAGGCUUCCUGGUCAGGGCAUCAAAUGCGACUGCUCCUACAAUGCAUCCACCGUCUGCCACAUCACCAAGCUGUAGGCAUCGAGAGAAAUGUUUUUUAUAUAUCCAUUUUUACUGAUGCAUGGGUCCUCGCUGCUCAGGUCAGGCAUGUCUCCCUCCCUCUCUCUCUCUCUGAUUUCCUGAAAUUGAGGUCCUGAUCUAGGUUUUAGGCCAUGGAAGCUGCUGCUGGGGUCACCGUCAAUCGAUGGCACCAAUUGCUUUUUCAAGAUCAAGUGUUCCAAACUUGAUCCCCCCAUCCUCUUUACUACUACAGCCCUAUUGUUGCUGCUUAUUAUUGGGGUUCAGAUAGUGAUACGUGUCUGAAUAUAAGCUGGAUGAACUGGAUCCACUUGUUAUUUGUUCACUGGUCUUUGAACUUUACCUAAUCAAGCUGUGCUUAUUCUCUGAAUACUGGGUUAGGAUUUUGUGUAUUCCAAAUGAACUGCUGACUGACCAAA